rnacentral:lncRNA from 1 species
AAGCGGGCAAACAAUUGCUUCCUUUUCUCUAAUUUCUAUAUUACUGUACGAGGCUGGAAAGCCCAGCAUGUCACAGGUAGGCAGCCGAGCUUCUAGGAAGGCAGAUGCUGACCCACCCCACAGCCGUGCCCCAGUCUGCCCCUCUCAGCAGUGCUGAGCGGCCUGGUCCCCUCAGAACCCCAGCCUCCCCCAUGUGUGGAGUGGACACCGAGAGCCCCUGCCUGGCAGGUGUGGUGAGGACUGACUGAGCUGAGCCGGGUAAACGCUUGCCCGAGAGCCCUUGUCGCCAGAUGGCCCUGCAGCCCUGUGGGCAGCCACGCUCAUCACCCCAUCUCACAGAGGUGGUCCGAAGGCUCAAGAGGCAGCCACUUGCCCAGGGCCACUCAUUUCAGGAGUGUCAGGCCACAUCUUGAGUUCAUCCUAUUAUUUGGGAAAGUGCCCAGGGCCAGUGGCUGUCACUCUGUCACAUGGCCCUGGCCUCUCAGAGCUUCAGAGCUGGGCACACCAGGGUGGCUCUGCUGGAGAUGGCAUUUAAGAUGCAAUUCCUGGGCUCUGUCUUGGGAGGUCUGUUCUGCUCCAUCACCCCAGUGCCAGGUGGCCCUGAGGGGACAUUGGAUGAGAGAGUUAGCCACACCCUGCCGACCCUACCCACAUCUGUGGCUCUGGCGCCCCCACUGAGCCACCUGUUCCUUGACAGGUGCCACGUGCAGGGCUAUCCUGAGGGUUGGGGCAUCUCCUGGAACAAUGAGGUUGGCCCACAACACAACAGGAGUCAACACGGGCCCUGCUACUGGCUCAGUUCCGGAACCCUAAGGCAUCCUUGCGUGUGCGGCUCUGUGACCUCCUGAGCCACCUGCAGCGGAGCGGUGAGCGGGACUGCCAGGAGUUCUACCGAGCCCUGUAUAUCCAUGCCCAGCCCCUGCACAGCUGCCUGCCCAGCCGCCACGCUCUGCGUAAGUUCCACAUCACCAACCAUGCAUGCUUGGUGCUGGCCCGGGGAGGGCACCCCAGCCUGCCAUUGAUGGCAUGGAUGUCCUCCAUGACCACCCAAGUCUGCUGCAGCCCAGGCCUGGCAUCCCCUCUCGCCUCAGCCCCUCCCCAGAGGCCACCCUCUGGCCCCGAGGGGAGAGUGGCAGGCACAGGCAGUGCAGAUGUUGGUCUCUGUCUCCCACUUUCUCCCCCUUCCUCUGUCUCUCUCUCUCAUGGCAGUUUUCACACAGCAUGGGGCAUCUUAUACGUCCACUCUUGCCCUUCCUUUUCUAACCUCAUUCCACGGGGAUCCUUUCAUGUCUGUGUGGACAGCAGCCUUGUUCCCACAGCUGCAUGGUGCUCCUAGGCGGUCCCAGCUGGAAUUACCCAACCCCAUGACGGACCCUUUCAUUGCAGCGAUCUGCACACGUGUGGGUGUUUCCAUAGGACAUUGUCAGGCACGGAUGGCUGGUCCGAAGCACGUGCAUUUCAGUUUUGAGGCUCCUGUCCUCAGGCAGUGUGGACUCAGGCCCUGGGAGUCAUGUGGAUGCCAGUAGCCUGGGCCCACAGAGCUGCUGGGACGUGGGGGGCAUAUCAAGUUGAAGAUGGCAACUCUGAUCUGAUGCCUCUGUGCUCAGGGCCCCUGGAGGAGGGGCUACUGCCCCUUGGCCCUUAGACAACAGGACAGAGACCAGAGGGACUGGGCGGCUUGUCCCAGGCUACUGGGCUGUGGUCUCUGACCCCCUGGAGGCCUCCCCACGCCUCACAGAACACAGUGCAGAUGGUGGGCGGGGAGAGCUUGAGGGGAGGCCCAGCCCUGCAGGUGGGACUGGCUCUCCCUCCCCAGCCACGAGUAUGCCACAGGGGGCUUUCAAAACCAGGCAGGGCCAAGCCUUAGCCCCACUGGAGGUAGAGCACCUUCUGUGGCUCCCGGGUGCCUUUAGGCCCGUCCAGGAGUUGGAGCAGAGGAGAAGACCCAGACUGUGCAUAGUUCCCUGAGGAGGGCUAGCCUCAGGUGCCACAGCCUGGUUCGGCCUGGCGGCCCCAGGAGGCAGCAACAACCUUGGGCUUCCUGCGGGGUGACUACCUUGCUCUCCGGCCCUGCCCAUUGACUAACUAUGCUCUGUGGUUUUGUUUCCAGAGAACUCAGAUUGCACAGAGCUAGACUCGGGCAGCCAGAGCGGCGAGCUGAGUAACAGGGGUAACACCUCCCUGCUGCCCCUCCCUCUCUCUCCCUCUCUCUCCUUAUCUCUUUACCCUCCCCAGGGCUCCAUCUCCGCCUCAGGGGCUUCUCCACCCCAAGUCUGGCUCCAUUCCUGGCCUUCUGUUGGUGACAGACCCCCUAAGGUGCUCGUUUGGGGGCUCUUCAGGCAGCACCUCAGCCUGGCACCCCCACUCCCCUGCGCAGCCCCCGGGCCUCAGGACCCCACCCCUCUGAGGCCCAGGGGAGCCCUGUUCACGCUGGUUUCUCCCCAGGACCCAUGAGCUUCCUGGCUGGCCUGGGCCUUGCUGUGGGACUGGCCCUGCUCCUGUACUGCUAUCCGCCAGACCCCAAGGGCCUGCCAGGGACCCGGCGCGUCCUCGGUUUCUCGCCUGUCAUCAUCAACAGACAUGUCAGCCGCUACCUGCUGGCCUUCCUGGCAGAUGACCUAGGGGGGCUCUGACAGACCCCGGACCCAGGGCCUCACCUGCCACUCAACCAAAGAGUCCUCGAGCCGGCCCGCCAAGGGGACUGCUGCUUCUUUUUCUAAAUGCAUAUUUUUCAUUAUUUAUAAUUUGUGUAAAAAACACACCUUCACCUUACAAGGUGCUGACCAUAUUAAAUGUUC